AAAAAAAAAAAAAAAAAAACUUUACAAAACAAUUUACAAAACAAAAGUUUGAGAAGAACAUAUAUAAAUUUAAAAUUAGUACAUAUAUAUAUAUAUAAUAUAUAUAAUACUCAAUCAGAAACCGACUUAUAAAAAUAAAAUAUUUUUUUUCUUUUAUUUUAUUGAAGUAAAGAAAAAAAAUAUUUUUAUGUUUAUGUAAAGUCAAAAUAUAAAUAUAUAGUUAUAUAUAUAUAUAAC
rnacentral:misc_RNA from 1 species